CUUGCGACACUUUUUUCAGGUGCCCGUCGCAAUGCGCGACGGGUGAAACGGGAAAUCGGUGCGCCUGGCAACGCCAGUGCUAGUCCGAUGCUGCCCCCGCAACGGUAAGCAAGUGUACGGCAAUCUGAUGCGCCACUGUGCUCACGGCAUGGGAAGGUGAUUGCCCCGGAGUUCGCUCCACUUGCAAGCCCGGAGACCGGCCUGAAAAAACACCCGGAG
rnacentral:ncRNA from 2 species